ensembl:lncRNA
CUGUUUCCACUGUUUCCCCAUCUAUUUCCCAUGAAAUGAUAGGACCAGAUAGCAUGAUCUUAGUUUUCUGAAUCUAAGACAUUAGAGUUAUCCAUCUGUUAUUAAAUUCCAGACAUCUGUAAUAUAAUCACCCAAUGAUUAUAGUUAUUUUAAUAUUUUAGGAUGACUUGAGCCUUAACUAUUUCUUAAAAUAUGAUUAUUGCUUAGUAGCUUAGAUUUCUUUAGAAAUUACAGAAAAGUAAGAACCAAAAAAAUCACCUUGGGUCCUAGAACUUAAUGAAAAUCCCUAAGAAUUUUGGGAUUUUUUUUUCCUAUAAGUCUUUUCUGUUUUGGCUGGGGAGAGAGAAGUAAGCUAUGCUAAAACUUGGGGUCAGCUUUUUCCCCUAGGGUUAAUGCUUAAUUUUUCUCCAGAUACCCCAAAAGGAAAUUUACAGUUAUGACCUCGAUCAAAGGAUUUUCUUAGCUCCACAUUGGCCUCUGAGUAGUUGCCACUGAAGUACUAAACGCAGAUUGGGAAAGACCAACAAUUACAGAAAUGCAGGCAUGAGACUGUAUUUGACUCAAGAACGGAGUAGAGACAAGUGCAGAGGUCGCACUGUGCUGCCUUUUAGAUGCAGGCAUCUCCCCUGCUGUUCCGGAACCUUCCCUAGGUACCCUACGGGCCUCAACAGGCAGAUGUCUGCACCCACUCUGCAGUCCAGGCCUGCCUUCCUUAUCUGCCCCAGGUCUGCUGGUGGGCAGGGGAGAUAACCCCGGCCCCACACAGAUGUCCACACAUCCACUGUGGCCGGAAUGAGUGAAAAGCCUUAACCAGGAGCUGAGUUUAGUGGAGGUGGGGGUGGCUCAGCUCCACAGGAGAACUUCUGCCCCUGAAAACAGACUGAAAACCCAGAUUUCCGCUUUCUAUCCCCUCUGCCCCACCUAUCUGUUAAUGUCACCCGUCACCUUCACCUUUGGAGAAGGCAAUGGCAAGGAAAGAUUGAUGAAAAAGUCAAACAGAACAAAAAUCACCCUUAUUCCAAGGCUGCAAACACUCAGAGGAUCCACCUGGUCCCGGAUGAGCAGCUCCAAGCAUGGUCACACAAGGCAAGAUGCUGAAGAGAAGCCAGCUCGGGCUCCUCCUUCAAGCUCCAGCCCAGAGCAGCUUUCGGGACUCCGCUGGGGGCCGCCUGCCCCACUGCGGUCUCUCGGGCGGCCCGCUCGCCAGGAACUCCGGAAAAGAGAGCGGCCGGGUUAAUGCUGACCAGUGUUCACCGAACGGGCGCUGAGUCCCGCGCACACCAGGAGCACUUUGAAAAGUUCCUUUUCAGAGGAUUGAGUGUGACUCAUCCCCUUAUUUAAUUCAUUUAAUGUGGAGGUAUCUGACAAAAGAAUGGAUUGUUUCUCAGAUUAUUAAGAAUCAACACAAAAUAGAUACGACACCCACGCCCCUUGCAGUCCGGCCGCUGGCGGAGGUGCGCGCGGGGUGCCGUUUGCCCCCUCCUCGCCCUCCGCCGUCAGCCUCGUCUUCCCCCCAGACUCGCCGGCNNNNNNNNNNNNNNNNNNNNNNNNNNNNNNNNNNNNNNNNNNNNNNNNACAGCAGGGCACCCGUCGGAGCCGUCGCUUCUCUUUAUUUGUAAAGUUCCCCUGAAUCAGGGGCUCACUGAACAGCGCCACUGUCUGAAAAGGGCAUUUGGUUCAUUCCAAAGCAAUGGAAAAAAAAAAAAAAAACAACCAGGAAGAAGAGGGAAGGACCCCAGACAGCCGUUGCAGGGGCAGAAGCCGCUCUAAACAAGCUGCCCUUCUGUCCCGUGAAGGGUUAGUGCUGGUGGAAAGAAGCCUCCCCACUCUGGAAUUUUAACCUCCUCUGUCUUCUCUUUUUAAAUUGCUUCUUAUAAUCCUCUUGUCAAUGCAGGAGACAGGGGUUCAGUUCCUGGGCCAGGAAGAUUCCACGUGUCUCUGGACAAUGAAGCCCAAGCCCCACAGCUACUAAGUCUGUGCUCUAGAGCUGGGAGCCACAACCAAUGAGUCCUGCAUGCCUGGAGCCCGGGAGUCCCACACACCUAGAAGCUGAGAGCCGCGCACACCUGGAACCCUACAGCCCUGCACACCUAGAACCCUAGAGCCCUGCACACCUGGAGCCAGUGAGUCCCGCACACUUGGAACCCGGGAGUCCCUCACACCUAGACAGAACCUGGGAGUCCCGUACACCUAGAACCCUAGAGCCCUGCACACCUNNNNNNNNNNNNNNNNNNNNNNNNNNNNNNNNNNNNNNNNNNNNNNNNNNNNNNNNNNNNNNNNNNNACAGCUGGAACCCGGGAGUCCCGCACACCUAGACAGAACCCAGGAGUCCCACACACCUAGAAGCUGAGAGCCCCGCACACCUAGAACCUGGGAGCCCCGCACACCUGGAACUCGGGAGCCCCACACACCUGGAACCAGUGAGUCCCGCACACCUAGAACCUGAGAGCCCUGCACACCUAGAACCUGGGAGUCCCGCACACCUGGAACCCGGGAGCCCCAUACACCUCGGGCCCUGCUCCCCGACCAGAGGCCAGCGCAGUGAGAAGCCGGUGCCCCGCAGCUGGAGAGCAGCCCCCCUCGUCGUAGCUAGAGAAACAAACAGCCAGGAAGACCCAGCUCGGCCAAAACUAAAUCAAUGAAGAGCUUCCUGUGCAAUCAAAUGAAGAGUGAAACCGUAAUAGAAAAGGAGGAAAUUCAAUCACUGUCAUGCUGGAGGUCGCGAGUAGGUUUAUCCGGUGAAACACGUUAAGGACGAGCGGCUCUGUGCCCAUCAGCUUUCCCUGACCUGCCUGGUAUAAUAUCAUGCUUCCUGUCAAAGGCAUGAGCGGCGCCUGCUCACAGUCCACAGCUGAAUCUGUGUUAGGGUUUUAAACAGGAGACCCCAUAAUGCUCCCAGUUGGGGUAACAAUCUAAUGCAAAGUUUUGGAAGGUCUUACCAAAAGUACACGUGGAGAGAGACGGGGAGAGAAGGCGGAGGCAGACUCGUCACUCACGGCUGCCCGCGCACUUGCCCCAUACCCUCGGGGUGUGCCCGGGGCAUGCGGUGUGGGCUCUGAUUUGUGGGUUCUGUCCUCAGUGGGGCUUCCCAGGUGGUGAAGUGGUAAAGAACCCACUUGCCAAUGCAGGAGACGUGGGUAUGAUCCCUGGGUCGGGAAGAUCCCCUGGAGAAGGGAAUGGCAACCCNNNNNNNNNNNNNNNNNNNNNNNNNNNNNNNNNNNNNNNNNNNNNNNNNNNNNNNNNNNNNNNNNNNNNNNNNNNNNNNNNNNNNNNNNNNNNNNNNNNAUCCCUGGGUCGGGAAGAUCCCCUGGAGAAGGGAAUGGCAACCCUCUCCAUUAUUCUAGCCUGGAGAAUUUCGUGGACAGAGGAGGCUCGCGGGCUACAGUCCGGGGGUUGCAACUGAAUAUGACUUAGUGACUAAACAACAGUCCUCAAUGUGAGAAGGAAGUCCUGCUCAUCAUACCCAGGGUGAAUCUGAAAACACAGCCAACCGUUUUCACCCACUCAGGGGCCAAGAGCCCCAGAGGGGCACUGGCUGCCCAGAAAGCUGCUCCUGGGCUCCCAGGAGCCUCGACUUUGGAUGUGAUCCAGGCCUGAUAGAAACAGCCUCCUUGAAGAGCGCUUGGGUCCUGUCUGCGGCUCUUGCAGGUCACACCUCAUGGGCCUGGCCUCUGACUGCUGAGGGAAUGGUUCACAGAGGGCCCCGCACCUCCGUCUAUCUGGACCUGAACCCCAGGACUCCGUCUGUCACCCACCAGCCUCCUUUUCUUUGCCUUCGUUCAUUUCUACGAGCGAGAAGAAUCACUGCUGUUCAGUGCGGCUGGUCUAAACGUGGAUCGUGAUGAAGUGUAAACAGUGAGCUCGAUUUUCCAGCAGACACGUACUUCCCUGUGCAUCCCUGGGCUUCCCUAUAACGCUGAAUAAAAGUUUUGCUAAGACUCAUCAGCUGAAAGUGAAAAGUGAAAGUUGCUUAGUCGUGUCUGACUCUCUGAGACCACACUGACUGUAGCCCGCCAGACUCCUCUGUCCAUGGGAUUCCCUAGACAAGAACACUGAAGUGGGUGGCUGUUCCCUUCUCCAGGGGAUCUUCCUGACCCGGGGACCAAAGCUGGGUCUUCCACAUGGCAGGCAGAUUCUUUACCAUCUGAGCCACCAGGGAAUUCUUUUCUUGAACAGGUUAUAAAAUAGACUGAGAAAAGCUUAUGAAGAAAGUAUGAAAGGCCAACUUCCUGCCACUACAACGCAUCUCAUUUUCCGACUUUACUGACAUUAGGAUUCAGUGUGAAACGGUAUGGACAUCUGUCUAGUCACUAGGCUGAAAUAAUAGAACCAUCCUGAGAUUUUAUAUAGCCAGAGAUCGUCGAUCAUUCACUUCUCAUUACACGAUUUUUAUGUCUAGUAAGGAAAUCUAAUUCAUUCAGGAUGAUGGUAUUGAGGACUUUUUUCCCAACCAGAUUCUUCAGACUGGGCUGCUAAUAAAAAUACAGUGAGACUCAGAGAGGAAAACCCUAAGCAUGUGAAAAGUAAAAUGCUGGCAUUCAGUAAUAAGUGUUUAUGUCAGCAAACAAAUGCAGGACUAGCCACUCAUGGCCCAGCUUUGUCUGCUCCAAGAUUACAGGUCCUGGAACACAGGGGCUGUGCAGGCCCCAGUCCUACAGUGAGUCACCGAGAAGCCGUCACUUCUCAGAGCAGCUCCUGAACUGCACCGGUUCUGGUGACCCACCACCUUGAUAGGGCCAGGGAAGCAAGACUCUUAUGAGAGUCCAACAUGCUGACAACCAGGAGCAGUUCUGUCUAGUAUGAACAGAAUGUGGUUUGAUGCAUUCACGUAAAUUAAAUAAGCCUGACCCGCACCCAGGCUUCUGUGACCUGUUUGGAACCCACAGGGAUCGGGCCAUCGUACCUGCCAAGCCCGUGGAGAAUCUACAGGCCGGACAAUAAAAGCUGCCCCCGUUCCAUGGGCGCAGGUCGAGUUAUUAUUGCUGGGAGACACAAAACAGCUGUAAGUCCAUCUUAUAACAUCCCUUAUCUCUAAUGUCAGUAUUUCAACCAGACAGCUGCUCAAAAUCCUACA